rnacentral:rRNA from 1 species
AACGGCGAGUGAAGCGGCAACAGCUCAAAUUUGAAAUCUGGCCCCCAGGCCCGAGUUGUAAUUUGUAGAGGAUGCUUCUGGCGACGCGCCUUCCGAGUUCCCUGGAACGGGACGCCAAAGAGGGUGAGAGCCCCGUCCGGUCGUGCGCCUAGCCUCUGUGAAGCUCCUUCGACGAGUCGAGUAGUUUGGGAAUGCUGCUCUAAAUGGGAGGUAUACGUCUUCUAAAGCUAAAUACCGGCCAGAGACCGAUAGCGCACAAGUAGAGUGAUCGAAAGAUGAAAAGCACUUUGAAAAGAGGGUUAAAUAGUACGUGAAAUUGCUGAAAGGGAAGCGCUUAUGACCAGACUUGGGCUUGGUGAAUCAUCCGGCGUUCUCGCCGGUGCACUUUGCCGGUCCAGGCCAGCAUCAGUUCGUCCCGGGGGAUAAAGGCUUCGGGAACGUAGCUCUUUCGGGAGUGUUAUAGACCGUUGCGUAAUACCCUGGGGUGGACUGAGGUACGCGUUCUGCAAGGAUGCUGGCGUAAUGGUCAUCAGUGACCCGUCUUGAAACACGGACCAAGGAGUCGUCUUCGUAUGCGAGUGUUCGGGUGUCAAACCCCUACGCGUAAUGAAAGUGAACGUAGGAGAGAGCUUCGGCGCAUCUCCGACCGAUCCUGAUGUUCUCGGAUGGAUUUGAGUAAGAGCAUACGGGGCCGGACCCGAAAGAAGGUGAACUAUGCCUGUAUAGGGUGAAGCCAGAGGAAACUCUGGUGGAGGCUCGCAGCGGUUCUGACGUGCAAAUCGAUCGUCAAAUAU